rnacentral:rRNA from 1 species
CCUACGGGAGGCAGCAGUCGAGAAUCAUUCACAAUGGGGGAAACCCUGAUGGUGCGACGCCGCGUGGGGGAAUGAAGGUCUUCGGAUUGUAAACCCCUGUCAUGUGGGAGCAAAUGAAAAAGAUAGUACCACAAGAGGAAGAGACGGCUAACUCUGUGCCAGCAGCCGCGGUAAUACAGAGGUCCCAAGCGUUGUUCGGAAUCACGGGGCGUAAAGGGUGCGUAGGCUGUUUCGUAAGUCGUGUGUGAAAGGCGCGGGCUCAACCCGCGGGCGGCACAUGAUACUGCGAGACUAGAGUAAUGGAGGGGGAACCGGAAUUCUCGGUGUAGCAGUGAAAUGCGUAGAUAUCGAGAGGAACACUCGUGGCGAAGGCGGGUUCCUGGACAUUAACUGACGCUGAGGCACGAAGGCCAGGGGAGCGAAAGGGAUUAGAUACCCGGGUAGUC